UACGAAGUGGGCUAGCGUUGCUCGGAAUCACUGGGCGUAAAGGGUGCGUAGGCGGGUCUUUAAGUCAGGGGUGAAAUCCUGGAGCUCAACUCCAGAACUGCCUUUGAUACUGAGGAUCUUGAGUACGGGAGAGGUGAGUGGAACUGCGAGUGUAGAGGUGAAAUUCGUAGAUAUUCGCAAGAACACCAGUGGCGAAGGCGGCUCACUGGCCCGUUACUGACGCUGAGGCACGAAAGCGUGGGGAGCAAACAGG
rnacentral:rRNA from 1 species